rnacentral:misc_RNA from 1 species
UUAUAAUUAAAUAAUGACUUAGACAUCAUAUAAACAGUAUUUAAAAAGGCACCGGCAGCGAACUGCCGAAGCAUAGCAUAAGAACACAAAGGAUGAAGGGUUUUAAACCUUUUAAUGAUCCUUCCGCAGGUUCACCUACGGAAA